rnacentral:lncRNA from 1 species
GUCCACACCUUUCCCAUAGUAAAUACAAAUACUUGGUUCAAAAGGUGCAACUUUUAUAUGACCUCAGAGGGCUGAUAAAUAGGCAUUAAGAAUGGAUGACUAGCAAGGUGACAGGCCCAUUGUUGGGGCUUUUUUGAAAAUAGUUUCAACCAGGGGACCAACAUGAGACCUAAUAGAUCCAUCUCCACAAUCAUCAUUUUGCUGUUACCCUUUCAAUACCCAAUCAAAUGUGGGAGUCAUUCCAGAGAAAAGUGGUUAAAAGUAGUCUAGGGCAUAGAAAAAGAGGACUCUCACAGAUACCAAGGAGUUUUACUACCAAGGCCAGCAUGGUAUUGCAGGACAGUGCUGGGGAGUUGUCACAAGAGUAUGGGUGGACAUAACACAUUUGUCCAUACAGAAUGAUGCAUGCCCCGCAUCCAGCUUCCCACCAAGAAGAAAAAAGAGAGGAGGAUGAGGAAAGCCAUGGAUUUACCAAAGUGCUUGUUACAGUGAAAAACACAGCCCACAGGCACUGAGGUGGGACUACAGAACCUUGCUGGACCACAUCUUUUCAGCACAUUUCUGUGACCCUCUGUUUUUGAUGGAGAAAACAACGCUACUGUUAUGAAACACAGAAUGGAGUCUUCAUUAAUCUUCCAGCAGGGUAAGUGCUCUGGCAGGUUUCCAAAGCAUGAGAAGGUGGGGGCUCUAGUAUUCCAUCCCAGGACCUCUGGCCCUUUUGUCUCUCUCUGCAAGGCUCAUAGUUGGAGGGCUGUAUCUCCCUUUGUGUUUUCAGAAGCCCAGAGUGGCAAAAUAAUUUAAAUGGCAGGAGGUACAAAGUACGUUGUAAACUAAGCCUCCCUGAAUCCUGCUGUAUUUGCUGU